UAGGUCGACCCGCUGAAUUUAAGCAUAUCAAUAAGCGGAGGAAAAGAAACUAACAAGGAUUCCCUUAGUAGCGGCGAGCGAAGCGGGAAAAGCCCAGAACCGAAUCCUAACGGCGUUAAGUUGUUGGGAAAUGUGGUGUUUGGUAUACUCCUUACGGUACAUUGGAGUCGUUCUAAGUCCACGUGAUUGUGGCUUCAAGCCCAGAGAGGGUGUAAGGCCCGUGAGAACGAUACAGUGUAUUCACUGGAGUAUUCCUAGAGUCGGGUUGUUUGGGAAUGCAGCCCAAAGAGGGUGGUAAGCUCCAUCCAAGGCUAAAUACAACACGAGUCCGAUAGCGAACAAGUACCAUGAGGGAAAGUUGAAAAGAACUUUGAAGAGAGAGUUCAAUAGUGCGUGAAACCGCUCAGAGGUAAACAGGCAGAGCUGAAGAAGGUGUGUGCAUUUGUCUUUCGUGAUGUGCAUGCUAAUGUUUAAGGAGAUUCGUAAGAACUCCCACGUUAGUGUGUUGCGUUAUGUUGGGCUCUUGUGCAUUUCCGACACCACGAUCAGUGCGUAGAAAGGCCAUGUCAUUGGGGAAAAGGUAUUUGGUUCAUUUGAACUAGAACUUAUAGAUCCUUAGUACAGCGCUCUUCGAACACUGGUAAAUGCGAUGCAGGACAAUGUGGUGGACAAGUUAGUGCUAGUUGCUGGUGCUUAAGAUUGACUCAUUUAGAGAUGGUUUUUUGCUGCUGGUUUCUAGUUCUGGCCUCUGUUUGCUGCAGUAAUGAAUCCGUGGUGAUUAUGUAAGCAAUCUGCCUGACCCGUCUUGAAACACGGACCAAGGAGUUUAGCAUGUGCGCGAGUCAUGGGGUCGUACGAAACCUAAAGGCGCAGUGAAAGUAAAGGCUUGCAUUUAGUAGGCUGAGGUAGGAUCUCGGUUUCUAUGUACAUUCUGUACAAGGGCUGAGCGCACUACCAGCUCAUCCAAUGCUUUAUUAAGCGGGGUGACGCAAGAGCGCACAUGCUGAGACCCGAAAGAUGGUGAACUAUGCUUGCGUAGGUUGAAGCCAGAGGAAACUCUGGUGGAGGGCCGUAGCGAUUCUGACGUGCAAAUCGAUCGUCAAACGUGAGUAUAGGGGCGAAAGACUAAUCGAACCAUCUAGUAGCUGGUUCCCUCCGAAGUUUCCCUCAGGAUAGCUGGCACUCGAGAAUCAAACAGUUUUAUCCGGUAAAGCGAAUGAUUAGAAGUAUUGGGGAAAAAUAUUCCUCAACUUAUUCUCAAACUUUAAAUGGGUGAGAAGCUAAACUCUCUUAAAUUGGAGUUUGGCAUUGAAUGUGAGUGCCUAGUGGGCCAUUUUUGGUAAGCAGAACUGGCGCUGUGGGAUGAACCAAACGUUUGGUUAAGGAGCCCAACAUAACGCUCAUCAGAUACCACAAAAGGUGUUGGUUGAUAUAGACAGCAGGACGGUGGCCAUGGAAGUUGGAAUCCGCUAAGGAGUGUGUAACAACUCACCUGCCGAAUCAACUAGCCCUGAAAAUGGAUGGCGCUGGAGCGUUGGUCCUAUACCAGACCGAUACUGCAAGUCGCAUUAUAAGGAAGCAGUAUCGAGUAGGAGGGCGCUGUGGUGAGCAUUGAAGCUUCGGUCGUGAGACUGGGUGGAGCCGCCACGGGUGCAGAUCUUGGUGGUAGUAGCAAAUAUUCAAGUGAGAACCUUGAAGACUGAAGUGGAGAAGGGUUCC
rnacentral:rRNA from 1 species